rnacentral:rRNA from 1 species
UACGUAGGGGGCAAGCGUUGUCCGGAUUUAUUGGGCGUAAAGAGCGUGUAGGCGGCUAGAUAGGUCCGUUGUGAAAACUCGAGGCUCAACCUCGAGACGCCGAUGGAAACCAUCUAGCUAGAGUCCGGAAGAGGAGAAUGGAAUUCCUGGUGUAGCGGUGAAAUGCGCAGAUAUCAGGAAGAACACCCGUGGCUAAGGCGGUUCUCUAGUACGGU